rnacentral:tRNA from 1 species
AGUCUUAUAUUCAAUUAUGAUAUAAAAUUGCAAAUUUUAAGGGGCAAAAUAAUGCUAAGGCUU